AUGGCUGAUCGUCCCGCGCCGCAGAAGCAGCAGGGACACACUCAGUCCUACUCCAUCGAUCCACACUGGUACAUGGACUCUGGGGCGACAGAGCAUCUAACCAGUGAGAUGGGGAAGCUUCACACUCGUGAACCCUAUCAUGGCUCCGACAAGAUCCACACCGCCAAUGGAGCAGGUAUGCACAUCUCUCAUAUUGGUCAAGCAUCUCUUCUCACUAGACAUGCCAAUAGGAGUCUUCAGCUUCGCAAUGUUCUUCGAGUUCCAUCUAUGACCCGUAAUCUUCUUUCAGUUCCUAAACUCACACGUGAUAAU
rnacentral:rRNA from 1 species